rnacentral:rRNA from 1 species
GACGAACGCUGGCGGCGUGCUUAACACAUGCAAGUCGAACGAAGUGGCGAACGGGUGAGUGAUACGUGGGUAACCUGCCCUCCUUUUUGGGAUAAGCCUUGGAAACGGGGUCUAAUACCGCAUAUCGGGGGAUGGGCUGGCGGCCUAUCUGCUUGUUGGGGGGGUGGUGGCCUACCAAGGCGGUCACGGGUUGCCGGGCUGAGAGGGUAACCGGGCACAUUGGGACUGUGAUACGGCCCAGACUCGUACGCGAGGGAGCAGAUGGGGAUAUGGGACAAUGGGCGAUAGACUGAUGCAGCGACGCCGUGUGAGGGAUGAGGGCUUUCGGGUUGUAAAACUCUUUAGCUAUCGAAUGGGUAGGUGGAGAAGAAGCGCCGGCUAACUACGUGCCAGCAGCCGCGGUAAUAC